rnacentral:rRNA from 1 species
ACGCUCGACACCUACGGGAGACAGCAGUGGGGGAUAUUGCACAAUGGAGGAAACUCUGAUGCAGCGACGCCGCGUGAGGGAAGAAGGUUUUCGGAUUGUAAACCUCUGUCUUCGGUGACGAAAAUGACGGUAGCCGAGGAGGAAGCCACGGCUAACUACGCGCCAGCAGCCGCGGUAAUCUGAGCGGGCUGGCAAGGC